UAUUUGGUCGACCAAUGACUGGACAUCGUUUGUGCAUUUUUGGAAAUUCAUUUUUAAAAAAUUAAAGAAUAACUUGGAAAAAAACAAUUUAAUGAGAUGAUGAGAGAAUUGAUGAACGAAACACGACUUGACCGGACAGCUAAUUGAUAAUGACUGUGUAUAAUAAAAAAAAUAAUCAACUUUGGAAAUUAAAAAAAAAUAAUUGUAAAUUUGUUUAUCAAAUUUAGAUAAAAAAACAGUGUAACCAACAUGAGUAGAAAUGAAAUACUGUAAAUAUUUUUACGAGGUAGAAUUUUGUAGACAAUCAGUGUGAAAUGUGUUACACGGUAAAAUAAAAUUACCGUGGAAAAGCUGGCUGUGAACAUACAAAUAUAUACUACUCGUAUGAUCAAGAACGAAAGUUAGAGGUUCGAAGGCGAUCAGAUACCGCCCUAGUUCUAACUGUAAACGAUGCCAGCUAGCGAUCCGCCGGCGUUUCAUUAACGACCCGGCGGGCAGCUUCCGGGAAACCGAAGCUUUUCGGUUCCGGGGGAAGUAUGAUUGCAAAGUUGAAACUUAAAGGAAUUGACGGGAAGGGCACCACCAGGGAGUGAAGGAAUCAGCGUGUUUAACAUCCUGGGCCGACAGGCUUCCGGGUAACCCGCUGACCUCCUUUCGUGCUUAGGACCGUGCUUGCAAUUUUUCCACGUGAACGAGGAAUUCCCAGUAAGCGCGAGUCAUCAGCUCGCGUUGAUUACGUCCCUGCCCUUU
rnacentral:ncRNA from 1 species